rnacentral:rRNA from 1 species
GACGAACGCUGGCGGCGUGCUUAACACAUGCAAGUCGAACGGAAAGGCCCUGCUUGCAGGGUGCUCGAGUGGCGAACGGGUGAGUAACACGUGGGUGAUCUGCCCCUUACUUUGGGAUAAGCCUGGGAAACUGGGUCUAAUACUGGAUAGGACCAUGCUGUAGGUGGUGUGGUGGAAAGAUUAGUUUCGGUAAGGGAUGAGCUCGCGGCCUAUCAGCUUGUUGGUGGGGUAAUGGCCUACCAAGGCGUCGACGGGUAGCCGGCCUGAGAGGGUGGACGGCCACAUUGGGACUGCUAUACGGCCCAGAGUCCUACGGGAUGCAGCAGUUGGGAAUAUUGCACAAGGGGCGUAAGCCUGAUGCAGCGACGCCGCGUGGAGGAUGACGGCCUUCGGGUUGUAAACUCCUUUCAGCCAUGACGAAGCCCGUGUGGUGACGGUAGUGGUAGAAGAGGCACCGGCUAACUACGUG